CCUGGUCCUGAAGGUGGGAGAUGGAGUGCGGAGGAGCUGGGUCCUGCUGAAAGAGAAAACCAUUCAUUUUAAUCCUCAGAGAUGUCCAGAGACCAGUGUUUCUCGAGCUCGGUAGAGCUUCUUGAGCUCGCGGGUGGGUGUGCCAGCCCAAGAGCAGAUGGCAGUGACUGUCUUGCAAAAGAAACUUCUGCUUUCCAUUUGUAAGAUGAGUUCACUGAGAAUCUCUCUGGUUUCUUGCUAAGUGACCUGAGCCGGUGCUUCACCGUGAAACCCUUUGUCUUGAGUCUCGAAUCGGAAAGCAUCCUGGCUCAGGAGGGACUUGCAACUCCUAGCUCUGCGUGAAACUGCCCAGACUUGGACUGCUGUGGCUGAGACCAGCGUCCAAAUGCUUUGCCAACUGUCAGUGCUGGGGGCUGUAACUGCUCCCUCAGGGAAGCCUGUUCUGAUAUCUCAUCCCUCUUUCUCCCAAGUUUUUCUUCAUCUGCAACCUCUGCCUCCUCUACUCCAACUUUCAGGCCGUUCCCAUCUCAUCCCAGGCUAGCUGGGGGAAAAGCUGACCCCCUCCUUGCUACAGCCUCCUUUUGGCUAGUUGGAGGGAGUUUGGGGCCUUUCUUGAAUGCUGCUGGAGAGCUUUAUUUCUUCUUUAAUAGAUAGUGGAGGGCCCAGAACUGCAUGCGAUGCUCACGGUUGAGGCCUUACCUCUGUGGUGCAGAGGGGGAUGAUCCCUUCCUUUGCUUGGCUGGGAGUGGUGGGCCUGAUGUGCCCCAGGCUGUGGCCAGCCCUCCUAAUGAUUUAACUUGCUGUCAGCUGUGGCACCCAGAUUCCUUUCCCCAGGGCAGCUCUCUGGCCUCAUCCCCUGGCUGUAGCUGGGGUUGGCCCCUCUCAGGUGCAGAAUCAGGUGCUGGCUGCAGUCUAACUUCACUUGGCUGGCAAUUGUAUGGCCUGCUGCUGGGUAGAGGUAACUCAGCAAAGCCCUUCUAUCCCUGGGGAGUACAUAGCUCCUCCUACUGUACUGUAAUCAGCAAACAUACUUAAUACACAUUUGACUCCUUGUGUCCUGAUUGCUUACAGCAAUACUGAAGAGAACUGCCCCCACAAGAAGCCCCUGGAAUCUGACUGGCGCCUGUCUCACAGCUUCUCCUGAUCUCAUUUAUUCUAACAAAUGCUUGGAGCCUCUUUUGUAUGGGGCAAGUCAGUGCUUAGCCCUCUGUUUGUUUUAAGAGGUACAAGUAGGAAGGGCUGUUUCCUGGCACAGGAUUUAGGUUCUGGAUCCCCUCACAUGACAAGAAUUUCCCUUACCUCCUCAAAGAGGCAAUACAUGCUUGAAACUGGACCACAGGCAGAGAUGUCGCACUUUUGUAAUAUGGGCGUUUUCUCGCAUUCCCACAUGGUGGGAGGAUGCCAAUUAGUGCCAAUAAACUUGUAGGAACUGUUAAACAGAGGAUACAGCAAUUAUUGACUCAGGAGGUGUUAGACAGUUGAUGUUAAUAGAAACAUCCCUCUAGUAGAUGAAUCGAGUACCAUCUGUAAUAAUCUGUAAUGUAUCGGAUUAUUGUAUCUGUAUAUUUAAGGUCUGUAAUAAAUCACUAAUAAAUACAUAGCUACAAAUAAACACUUUCUUCCUAAAGC